rnacentral:rRNA from 1 species
AUGAACGCUAGCGACAGGCCUAACACAUGCAAGUCGAGGGGCAGCACAAGGAGCAAUCUGAGGUGGCGACCGGCGCACGGGUGAGUAACACGUAUGCAACCUGCCUGUAAGCGGGGAAUAACCCGUUGAAAGACGGACUAAUACCGCAUAAUACUAAAUUACUGCAUGGUAAUUUAUUUAAACAUUUAUGGCUUACAGAUGGGCAUGCGCAUGAUUAGCUAGUUGGAGAGGUAACGGCUCCCCAAGGCAACGAUCAUUAGGGGUUCUGAGAGGAAGGUCCCCCCACACUGGUACUGAGACACGGACCAGACUCCUACGGGAGGCAGCAGUGAGGAAUAUUGGUCAAUGGACGAGAGUCUGAACCAGCCAAGUCGCGUGCAGGAAGAAUUGUCCUAUGGAUCGUAAACUGCUUUUGCAGGGGAAUAAAGUGCAUCACGUGUGAUGUUUUGUAUGUACUCUGCGAAUAAGGAUCGGCUAACUCCGUGCCAGCCGCCGC